rnacentral:rRNA from 1 species
AUGAGGACACAUGAGCGUGCUGCUAACUUGGCCCUUGCUGGUUUGAGCUUGGCGCCGCUCGUGAUCAAUGUGAACCCGAACCUGAAUGUGAUACUGACAGCAUGCCUUACCGUCUAUGUGGGAUGUUACCGUUCUGUCAAGGCGACUCCACCCUCUGAGACGAUGUCCAAGGAGCACGCGAUGCGUUACCCUUUGGUGGGGAGUGCUAUGCUUCUGUCUCUGUUCCUGCUGUUCAAAUUCCUCUCCAAGGACCUGGUCAAUGCUGUUCUCACCGCCUACUUUUUCGUUCUUGGCAUCGCCGCUCUCUGCGCAACGUUGCUUCCUUCCGUAAAGCGUUUUCUUCCCGAAGGGUGGAAUGAUAACGCCAUCAUUUGGCGUGCUCCGUAUUUCCACUCACUCUCAGUGGAGUUUACCAAGUCUCAAGUUGUUGCUUCAAUCCCAGGAUUUUUCUUUUGCGUUUGGUAUGCCAUGAAGAAGCAUUGGCUAGCCAACAAUGUUUUGGGAGUUGCAUUCUGUAUUCAGGGAAUUGAGAUGCUAUCACUAGGAUCGUUCAAAACUGGCGGUAUUCUCUUGGCUGGACUUUUUUUCUAUGACAUCUUCUGGGUUUUCUUCACUCCAGUUAUGGUCAGUGUUGCUAAAUCAUUUGAUGCCCCAAUAAAGCUUCUAUUUCCCACCGCAGAUGCUGCACGCCCGUUCUCUAUGCUUGGCCUUGGUGAUAUCGUAAUACCAGGCAUCUUUGUUGCGCUCGCCCUGCGUUUCGACAUUUCGCGAGGGAUCAAAAGCCGCCAUUACUUCAACAGCGCGUUUCUGGGAUACACAGUGGGUUUGACAGUAACAAUAGCUGUGAUGAACUGGUUCCGAGCCGCGCAGCCUGCUCUGUUAUACAUCGUUCCUGGUGUGAUUGGUUUCGUCGCUGUGCAUUGUCUAUGGAACGGGGAAGUAAAGCAGCUGCUGGAGUUCACCGAGGCGCAGGAUGAAGAGAAGGAAGAAGGUGGAGAUCCCAAUCAUGAGAGCAAAAAGGCAAACUAG